UUUCAUUCAUGAACGCAAGNACAAUAUCAUCACAUCUCCCCGAACAUGCCUUCGCAAACAAGGGUCUUCUCACGACGAUGGCAAAAGCUAAAAAUCAUGAAUUGAAUAAUUUCUGACGUUCUUCUAGAAGGGAAAAGUGUCAACCCAGCAAAGAACAGAAAAAAUGGUUGGCUGACUUCCUAAACGUGCAAUGCAACACUGCAAAGAAAUUCAUUUACAGUGCAAAGCAAUAUUGCAUGGCAUUACUGCUUUGUCAGAUAAAUUGUUGGCAUUUUACUGCAUUUAUGGACGAGCAAAAGAUUGGUACCAUCACUAACAUUAACAUAUUCGACAACAAAGUUUUUUUAAAUGAAUGUGCAGGAAUAUUGCUGUAUUCUUUUGAAAACAGCCUUGGAAUAAAUAAACAAUAAAAAAAAGCCGUCGUUUUGGAUUAUUAGCUAGCGAAAAUUCACGGAGAAGAAUUCCAAAAACCAAAAAAUUUUAUAAGGUUAUCGAAAGCAUGGAAGACGAUGUAUUUCAUUCUCAUUUUCGAAUGAAGGAAAGUAUAUUUCAGAAGUUGCAGAUUGCGAUUAAGCCUUGGCGGAAUUCAAGUGAAACUGGACGUAGAGCAAUAACGUUGGAAAAAGCUUUACAAAUAACAAUUUGAAAGCUAAGCAAUAAUUGUUCUUACAGAGAUGUCAGCAAUCGGUUUGGUGUGGCAGCUGGCCUCGCAUAUAAGGUGUUUCUGAAAAUAAUUAAAAUGAUUGCCGCUUGAAGGGAGAUGUAAUCAAAUCUCCCAAAACUGCAGCGGAAAAAAAACAAGUAAAUGAAGAAUUUACAAACCUGCGGUAUAAUCUUUUUAAUUUUGUAAUUGCAUGCAUCGACGGAACUCUUAUUCCAAUUUCGAAGCCAAUCAAAGAUGAAAUCAGCUAUCGCAACCGAAAGGCAACGUAUUCAAUCAUUACACAGAUGAAAAAUUUACUUUUUUGCAUGAUAAUAAUUACUAACUGGAAAUAUUUUCUUCAGGCUAUUGUAGAUAGUCCAGGUGCAUGCCACUACGCAUCAGUUUGGCAAAGGAGCUCUGUCAGGAAAGCUAUGAUUAGCAAGGAGAUUAAAAUCUGUUCNAAUUACCAUUUGUUGGGCGAUGGAGGAUAUCCAUUAGAAUUGUUCCUUAUGGUGCCGUAUCAGGAUAACGGGUUCUUAACUCCAAUGCAGUCAAAAUACAAUGCGAUUCUGUCUUCAACCCGCGUUGUNGAGGAACAGGCAUUUGGUGUUUAAAAAAAAAAUUUAGAAUACUCAAAUACAUCGAAGUUCGGCCUCCAUAUUUGCCAAAAUUAAUUACAAUGGCAUGCAUGAUUGUUCAUAACAUAACAAUUGAAAAUGAAGGCUACUUAGUCGAUGAAAUAGAUGAAGAAAGUGAGCCCCAAAUAGUCGAAGAUACGACUACAUCGGGACAAAGGGAGGCAAAAGCAAAAAGGGUUGUACUGGCCACGCUAUUGUCUGCCUAAUUGAAAACAGUUUGGACUUUAGAGUUAUAGUUGUUUUUUAAACUUUAUUAAACCCCAAUAAAGAAAAAAUAAAAAUGAA
rnacentral:lncRNA from 1 species